GGGCAGGCGUGCUGCCUUACCAUGACAGUCGAACGGCAGCGCGGGCUUCGGCCUGGCGGCGAGUGGCGAACGGGUGAGUAAUACAUCGGAACGUGCCCUGUUGUGGGGGAUAACUAGUCGAAAGAUUAGCUAAUACCGCAUACGACCUGAGGGUGAAAGCGGGGGACCGUAAGGCCUCUCGCAAUAUGAGCGGCCGAUGUCUGAUUAUCUCUUUGGUGGGGUAAAGGCCUACCCCGGCGACAAUCACUAUCUGGGCUGAGAGGACGAUCACCCCCACUGGGACUGAGACACGGCCCCCACUCCUACGGGAGGCGCCACUGGGGAAUUUUGGACAAUGGGGGCAACCCUGAUCCCCCAAUGCCCCGUGUGUGAAAAAAGCCUUCUGGUUGUAAAGCACUUUUGUCCGGAAAAAAAUCUCGCUGGCUAAUACCUGGGGUGUAUGACAGUACCGGAAAAGUAUACACCGGCUAACUACAUGCCAGCACCCGCGGUAAUACAUAGGGUGCGAGCGUUAAUCUCAAUUACUGGGCGUAUAGCGUGCGCACGCGGUUUUGUAAGACACGCGUGAGAUCUCCGGGCUUAACCUGUGAAUGUCGCUCGUGACUGCGAGGCUAUAGUGCGUCUCAGAGGGGUAUAAUUCCACGUGUAUCACUGAGAUGCGUAUAGAUGUGUAGGAGUACCCAUGGCGAAAGCGCCCCCCUGUGACGAGACUGACACUCAUGCGCGAAAGCGUGUGGAGCACACACGAUUAUAUACCCUGGGAGUCCACGCCCUCUACGAUGUCACAAUUUGUUGGGGGAGUCAUUUUCUUCUCUAUCAUAUCU
rnacentral:rRNA from 1 species